GCGAGCGUUGUUCGGAAUUACUGGGCGUAAAGCGCGCGCAGGCGGAUGUGGCAAGUCGGAGUGAAAUCCCGGGGCUCAACCCCGUGGACUGCUCCCGAUACUGCUCGUCUAGGGACCGGUAGAGGCCGGUGGAAUUCCCGGUGUAGCGGUGGAAUGCGUAGAGAUCGGGAGGAACACCUGUGGCGAAGGCGGCCGGCUGGGCCGGAUCCGACGCUGAGGCGCGAAAGCGUGGGGAGCAAACAGGAUUAGAUACCCUGGUAGUCCACGCCGUAAACGAUGGGUGCUAGGUGCCGGUGGGAGCGACCCCUUCGGUGCCGCAGCUAACGCA
rnacentral:rRNA from 1 species